GACGAACGCUGGCGGCGUGCUUAACACAUGCAAGUCGAACGGAAAGGCCUGCUUUCCCUUGUGGAUUGCGGGUACUCGAGUGGCGAACGGGUGAGUAACACGUGAGUGAUCUGCCCCCAACUUGGGUAUAAGCCUGGGAAACUGGGUCUAAUUCCCGAUAGGACUGCAGGGUGGUGCCUGUGGUGGAAAACGAUUUUCUAGUGGUUGGGGAUGAGCUCGCGGCCUAUCAGCUUGUUGGUGGGGUAAUGGCCUACCAAGGCGGCGACGGGUAGCCGGCCUGAGAGGGUGGACGGCCACAUUGAGACUGAGAUACGGCCCAGACUCCUACGGGAGGCAGCAGUGGGGAAUAUUGCACAAUGGGCGGAAGCCUGAUGCAGCGACGCCGCGUGGGGGGUGACGGCCUUCGGGUUGUAAACUCCUUUCGACCGCGAGGAAGCCACCUGGUUGGAAGGGUGGUGACGGUAGUGGUAGAAGAAGCACCGGCUAACUACGUG
rnacentral:rRNA from 1 species